GAUGCAUGGCAUCAGAGAAGCCACAAUUUCUUUGUUCUUUAGAAUGUCUUAGACAUAGAAAUAAGGAAUGUGUUUAUGAAGUGUAAUACUAAGUAGAAAAAAAUGAGUAUAAAUUGAACCAUGGAAAAUUAUGAUUGGUGCACAGUGAUGUUAAGAAUCUAUAUCUUCAAUACUUCAGAUUUAUACUUCAUUUAUUCAUGACAGGUGAAAAUAUCAGCCAAUUAUCCUUCUGCAUGCCAUACAAGGAACCAAAGGCAAUAUCUUCGAAAUUGUUUUUACACUCGAACUAGAUGACCUUGGGCAACAUGUCAAACCCGCCAGGUUUCAAAAGGACGAACAUCACCAGGUUUUGACCUUUGACCUCUAGUUGAAUCAGGAUGUUAGAAAGAAUGUCAAGAGAGAAAAGGGUCCGCACAGUGAUCUUGGUAACUUACGACAGUGACAUUGGUAGCAGGCUUUUUGAGUCAGUAAGCUAAAACAUGUGACAGAAUAGUUUGUUUCUGACUGACAUCUAGCACAAUACCCUGACAAUGAUGAUCUUGCUUUGUCUCCUUUAAAAAAUGAUAAGUUUCCAAUGCUAUAUAAAUGUUACAAUGGUUACAGGGUGAACAGUGUCAAGUUUGAACUUUGAGCAAAAUAUUACAAGGAAGAAUGAAAAUAAAUGGAAAAACUAACAUCAAAGUUUAAUGAUUAGUUGCAAAAGUAUGGAAAUUAGGCUGUUGGCGAAAAUACAGAACAUCUAACAAAGGAAGCAAAUUAAAAAAUUAUGUAAUGACAAAUUAUAUGCUUAAAAAAAAGAUAUUGUCCUACAUGUUUUUAUAUCGACAUUUAAUUGAGUGAUAUAUCACAUUACCUGGUUUUAAAAUGGUGAAAAUCAUUAUAUUACUCUUGUCUUAAACUUGCACAGCAUCUUAUUUAGUAUCUGUUCCCAGACUAAUUAUUGUUUGUUACCUUGAAGCUUUUAGUUGCAACUAUCAAAGAACUGGUUUUUAUACACAAACAUAAUUACAAAUGUAUAAAUCGUAUGGGAACUUUCCAGCUUUUUAGGAAUAGUAAUACUCUAAAUGUCCAUACCAGCAUUUUUCAUGUACUGGCAGGCAUCCGGGUAGAACCAACCUAAUUUAUGGCUUACUAUAUGAAAGAAUUUUACAACCCAAGCAAGUUUUUGAACCGACAGCUUUGAGGGGCAAGUGAUUUGAACAAAAGUUUUAAUCUCAACCAAUUUAAAUUUGGUAGGAAGAUCAUUAGAUUAU